GAUGAACGCUGGCGGCGUGCCUAAUACAUGCAAGUCGAGCGAACGGACGAGAAGCUUGCUUCUCUGAUGUUAGCGGCGGACGGGUGAGUAACACGUGGAUAACCUACCUAUAAGACUGGGAUAACUUCGGGAAACCGGAGCUAAUACCGGAUGAUAUUUUGAACCGCAUGGUUCAAAAGUGAAAGACGGUCUUGCUGUCACUUAUAGAUGGAUCCGCGCUGCAUUAGCUAGUUGGUAAGGUAACGGCUUACCAAGGCAACGAUGCAUAGCCGACCUGAGAGGAUGACCGGCAACACUGGAACGGAGACACGGUCAAGACUCCUACGGGAGGCAGAAGUGGGGAAUAUUGCACAAGGGGCGAAAGCCUGAGGAAGCCAGGCCGCGUGUAUGAAGAAGGCCUUCGGGUUGUAAAGUACUUUCAGAGGGGAGGAAGAGAGUAGAAUGAAUAUCUUCAAUCAUUGACGUUACCAAAAGAAAAAGCACCGGCUAACUCCGUG
rnacentral:rRNA from 1 species